UACAGAGGGCGCAAGCGUUAUCCGGAAUUAUUGGGCGUAAAGAGCUCGUAGGCGGUUUGUCGCGUCUGCUGUGAAAGACCGGGGCUCAACUCCGGUUCUGCAGUGGGUACGGGCAGACUAGAGUGAUGUAGGGGAGACUGGAAUUCCUGGUGUAGCGGUGAAAUGCGCAGAUAUCAGGAGGAACACCGAUGGCGAAGGCAGGUCUCUGGGCAUUAACUGACGCUGAGGAGCGAAAGCAUGGGGAGCGAACAGGAUUAGAAACCCUCGUAGUCC
rnacentral:rRNA from 1 species